rnacentral:rRNA from 1 species
GUGCCAGCCGCCGCGGUAAUACGUAGGCAGCAAGCGUUGUUCGGAAUUACUGGGCGUAAAGAGUGUGUAGGCGGUGCUCUAAGUCUGGUGUGAAAUCUCCCGGCUCAACUGGGAGGGUGCGCCGGAAACUGGAGUGCUCGAGUAUGGGAGAGGCAAGCGGAAUUCCUGGUGUAGCGGUGAAAUGCGUAGAUAUCAGGAGGAACACCUGUGGUGUAGACAGCUUGCUGGACCAUCACUGACGCUGAGACACGAAAGCGUGGGUAGCAAACAGGAUUAGAUACCCCCGUAGUCC